UAACUGCUGUGGAGUCCCAUAAUAGGACGAAAUGGCCGUCCAGUGC
rnacentral:hammerhead_ribozyme from 1 species